GGCUCUUCGAUUAUUAUAAGAUGAAGAGUCGGACCUGCCCAGUGAAAUAUUUUAACGGCCGCGGUACUCUGACCGUGCAAAGGUAGCAUAAUCAUUUGCCCUAUAAUUGGGGGCUGGUAUGAAUGGUUUGACAAGAGCGAUUCUGUCUCUAUAUAAUUUUAUAAAAUUUAAUUUUCAGCUGAAGAAGCCUGAAUUUAAUUAAAAGACAAGAAGACCCUAUCGAGCUUUAAAAUAAUUAAAAGAUAAUUAAAUAUAUUUAUAGAUUUAUAACUUUUAAAAAUUUUGGUUGGGGCGACCUAGGAACAAUUAAAGCUUCUUUAUAUAAAAAAAUAUACAUAUUUUGAUCCAGAAGUUUUGAUUAAAGAAAUUAGUUACCGUAGGGAUAACAGCAUAAUCUUUUUUGAGAGCUCCUAUCGAAAAAAAGGCUUGUGACCUCGAUGUUGGACCAAAAUAUCCUAAAGAUGUAGUCGUCUUUGAGGGUUGGUCUGUUCGACCAUUAAAAUUUUACGUGAUCUGAGUUCA
rnacentral:rRNA from 1 species